AGUCGUACGGUAGUCACACAUAAGCUUGCUUCUUGGGUGACGAGUGGCGGACGGGUGAGUAAUGUCUGGGAAACUGCCCGAUGGAGGGGGAUAACUACUGGAAACGGUAGCUAAUACCGCAUAACGUCUUCGGACCAAAGUGGGGGACCUUCGGGCCUCACGCCAUCGGAUGUGCCCAGAUGGGAUUAGCUAGUAGGUGGGGUAACGGCUCACCUAGGCGACGAUCCCUAGCUGGUCUGAGAGGAUGACCAGCCACACUGGAACUGAGACACGGUCCAGACUCCUACGGGAGGCAGCAGUGGGGAAUAUUGCACAAUGGGCGCAAGCCUGAUGCAGCCAUGCCGCGUGUAUGAAGAAGGCCUUCGGGUUGUAAAGUACUUUCAGCGGGGAGGAAGGCGAUGCGGUUAAUAACCGCGUCGAUUGACGUUACCCGCAGAAGAAGCACCGGCUAACUCCGUGCCAGCAGCCGCGGUAAUACGGAGGGUGCAAGCGUUAAUCGGAAUUACUGGGCGUAAAGCGCACGCAGGCGGUCUGUCAAGUCAGAUG
rnacentral:rRNA from 1 species